CAAAACCCUUAUUUUCUCUCCCAAACCCCCUUUCUAAUUGAGCCAUCAUAUAAGCUAAAUCCUAGACCCUUGACAUGAUAUUAGUUAAAGAGAAGUUGUAGCUUAAGUUUUUUUUUGUGUUGUUAAGCAAGCAGCUGGAAAGAGGAACAAGAUUCUUGAAGAUUCUGAUUUCUAAAGGUAAUUUCAACCUCCUACUCAUGUUAUCAAUUUGGAUUAAAGGUUUAAUAUGGUGUAUACGUGAAGGAAACGUUGAUAUACAAGCUAGAGAGAGAGAGAGAGCAUAAGCCAUGGCAUUCGACCAUGGCUAGCAAAAUUGGAGCUCAAAUUUGUUGAUCCAAAAAUCAGUUUUUCUAGGUAUUUCAGCCCUUAGGAAGGUGAUAAUAACGUGGAGAAUUCAUUUGGAGCAACAAGAACAAGUAUUAGUUCAUUUCACAAAUUCUAGCUAAGUGGAAAAAGCCAACUUGUUAAGACCUUGGGGAGCCCGAGGCGUAGAUUGGGAUUUACUUUAGAUUGGCUAUCUUGGAGUGCGUACGAGGUACAGACGCACAGUUUGGUGAUCUACCCAUUUAGGACACCCUCUUCUGCUGUUUGGAGUGCUCUUCUCAUUUCAGAGCACACAUUUUGGUAUAUAUUCGUUCGCUAUGUAUACAUGUAUUUGUUCAGGGGCACGGCGGGGCCCUAUCCCGCCAUAUGAUUCAGUUUGUCUGUUUAGAGGUCUGUAGACGUAUUUGUGGGUGUGUGUGCCUACUUCUGUACGGAUGUGUUUGCAUGACUCUAUUCGUUAUGGCAGCCUCGUCGGCAUGCAUUUUGUAUAUGUUUGUGGCAGCCUUGUCGGCGUGCAUUUGUAUAUGCGUUUUGGGCCGUUGUGCCAUUUGA